GAGUUUGAUCAUGGCUCAGAUUGAACGCUGGCGGCAGGCUUAACACAUGCAAGUCGAACGAUGAUUACUAGCUUGCUAGUAUGAUUAGUGGCGAACGGGUGAGUAAUGCUUAGGAAUCUGCCUAUUAGUGGGGGACAACAUUCCGAAAGGAAUGCUAAUACCGCAUACGUCCUACGGGAGAAAGCAGGGGAUCGCAAGACCUUGCGCUAAUAGAUGAGCCUAAGCCGGAUUAGCUAGUUGGUGGGGUAAAGGCCUACCAAGGCGACGAUCUGUAGCUGGUCUGAGAGGAUGAUCAGCCACACUGGGACUGAGACACGGCCCAGACUCCUACGGGAGGCAGCAGUGGGGAAUAUUGGACAAUGGGCGAAAGCCUGAUCCAGCCAUGCCGCGUGUGUGAAGAAGGCCUUUUGGUUGUAAAGCACUUUAAGUGGGGAGGAAAAGCUAAUAAUUAAUACCUAUAGCCCUGACGUACCCCAGNAGCC
rnacentral:rRNA from 1 species